CAAUAGCGUAUAUUAAAGUUGUUGUGGUUAAAAAGCUCGUAGUUGGAUUUCUGCUGAGGACGACCGGUCCGCCCUCCGGGUGAGCAUCUGGUUCGGCCUUGGCAUCUUCUUGGCGAACGUAUCUGCACUUGACUGUGUGGUGCGGUGCCCAGGACUUUUACUUGAGGAAAUUAGAGUGUUUCAAGCAGGCAUACGCCUUGAAUACAUUAGCAUGGAAUAAUAAGAUAGGACCUCGGUUCUAUUUUGUUGGUUUCUAGAGCUGAGGUAAUGAUUAAUAGGGACAGUUGGGGGUAUUCAUAUUUAAUUGUCAGAGGUGAAAUUCUUGGAUUUAUGAAAGAUGAACUACUGCGAAAGCAUUUACCAAGGAUGUUUUCAUUAAUCAAGAACGAAAGUUAGGGGAUCGAAGACGAUUAGAU
rnacentral:rRNA from 1 species